UUAUUAACUAAAUAACUUGUAUUGAGACUGCCUUUUAGCACGUCUUCGUUUGCUUUCUAGCACGUUUCCUUUUCUCUUUUGUUUCUCUGUUAUGCUUUUUUCCCUAAUAUUCUAGUCAAACAAAAUCUUGUUUCUGUUUAUGAUUUUUAAGUUUUGAGAGAGUUGGUUACUUUUUGACGUUUGUUAAUGGAAAUGAGUUCGAAGAAUUUGAGUAUUGAUGAAGGGGAAGACGAAGUGUGGGUGGUUGCUUGGGAGGAAGAUGCUCAAAAACUUAUCUGUGAAUUCUAUCUUGUGGGAUUCUUUUUGACGGCCAGUGUAGUGCGUUUUCCAGCAAUAAGAAACACUAUGGCAAAUCUAUUGACAUCCUCUUGGUGGGAUGCAGAUCUCAGAUCUGGGAGAAAAGAGAUUCUUAUUUCAGUUUUUCAAUGAGAUAGAUAUUGCAAGAGUGGAGAAUGAAGCACCAUGGACGUUCAACAAUAAUCUAUUAAUUAAUCAUCGGCUGAAGGAAGAGGACAAUCCGAUGUUGAUCCCAAUGAUACAUGACAAUUUUUGGGUCCACGUGCAUGAUCUACCUCCAGGUCUUUUUUCAGAAUUAGUAGCAAAACAGUUCAGAAAUUUUAUUGGCAAAUUUGUCGAUUACGAUACUAAACAACUGAACAAGGGAAUGAGGAAUUUCUUAAGAAUUCGAGUCCAGUUGGAUGUGUGAAAGCCAUUGAAAAGGAGAGAGAAAUUGAUGAUUUCAUCUUUAAAGUCCAUUUAUGCCAAUUUCAGGUAUGAAAAUUUAACUCUAUUUUGCUUGGGGCAUGGUGAUAGUUUUUGUUCAGUACAUCUUCAUCAUACAGGGAAGGAAAUUGAAAUAGGAUGGGAUCUAUCAUUGAGGGCACAACCAAAGAGUGCGAUGAGCACAAACAAUAUCUAGCUAAGGGAAAAAGGUGAGUUCAAAUUUUUGGGAAAUAAUUUAAGUGGGCAAAAUCUGGGUGAUGAUUCGCUGCAUAAUUUUCGGAAUCAAAUUAAUCUUAUUUUAGGAUUUAAUCAGGAAGGCAAAUCUUUCAGGCAUAAUCCGAAUGGACUCUCAAACAUAGAGGCCCAAAAGGUAAUGGAUCAAGAAGAAGAAAAUCCAUUAGAGUUUAUGGAAGAAAAAAAAAGGCCUCACUCUGAGGUAGGGUGUUCAAAUGGGCCGAAUGUUCCAGCCCAGAUUGGGGAGUCCAAUAUAAUUGGCAACGACAAAUCUUAACUGAUAUUAGCGGCUGCCAGCUGGCAGGCCUAUCGGACGCCAUGAAGUUGUUAUGUUGGAAUGUUCGCGGUUUGGGGAAUCCGCAGGCGAUUUGAAGAUUUUAGCAUUUGCUGAAAAUUUAUAAUCCCCAACUUGUCUUUCUUUAUGGAGACAAAACUUGAUUCAAAGAGGAUGAAAAAAAGUAAGAAAACAUUGUGGCUUUUUCUGUGGAAUUGACGCGUCGGCUAAGGGCACGAGAGGUGGCUUAUGUUUCAGAUAAAGAGAGGUUGUUUGAUUUCCCUUCAAAGUUUCUCAAAAAACCACAUUAAUGUUGUUAGACAAGAAGCCCCAAUUAGUCAGGAGUGGCAUUUUUUGGGCUUUUAUGGUGCACCAAAUAAUAGAAAUAGGGUGGAAACAUGGACUCUUUUAAAAAAAACUGAGGAGGGCUUAAAAUUUCCCAAGGGUCGUUAGUGGUGAUUUUAACAAAAUUCUGUUUGAUUAUGAGAAGAAAGAGGGUAUUCCUAAAGACGAAAGGAGAAUGAAAGAGUUCAAGAAGGUGUUGUUUGAGUGUGGUUCGGAGGAUAUUGGUUAUACAGGCCCAUGGUUUACCUGGGAACGUGGAAACUUACUAGAAACCAAUACCAGAAAAAGACUUCAUGGGGAUGUUGCAAAUGAUGAGUGGAUUCAGAAUUAUUUGAAAUUUUUUUCUGAGGCAUCUUACUCAUUCAUUUUUUUAUUAUUGCCCUAUAUUCAUUCAAAUGGAUCAAGAGGAAAACAGAAGAGCAAAAAAUCAAUUUAGAUUCGAAGCAUGGUGGUGCAUGGACGAGUCAUGUGAGACAAAAAUUAGGAAGUUAUGGGAAUCUAGCUCUAGAGAGCUAAUUGAUAAAUUGGGGUGUAUAAGGGCAGAAUUGAAGGGUGUGGUCCAAAGGAGUAAAAACUAAAAAAAGGGAGGUAACAACGGGGCUGAGGAAGAAACUGGAGGAAUUGGACUGUCAAGUAAGAACGGAUGAUGUGAUGUCAGAAAUGAUCGAUGUUAAAUUGCAUCUUAAUAUGGAGGAUGAUCAAGAAGAAAGUUAUCGGGAGCAAUGAGCGAGAGAAAUUUGGUUAAAAUUGAGUGAAAGAAAUACCUCUUUUUUCCAUAAUUUUGCCAUACAAAGGUGUCGACAAAAUCAGAUUAAUUGGUUGCAAAAUGAGGGUGGAAUUCUAGUCACUGAACGGGGGGAUAUGGAAAGGGUUGCUCGAGAUUACUUUUCUGAAAUUUUUGCGAGUAGAGGAGAAAGCAAUUCUGAUAAACUUUUAGUAGAAGUUCAAACUUGUAUUACUGAUGAUACAAAUAGAGAAUUGACAACUGAAUACAGAGAGGAAAUUUUCGAAGCUUUGAAGACGAUGGGGCCCAACUAAAGCAUCGGAAGAGGAUUGAUUCCCAGCUUUGUUCUUUUAAAAGUACUGACACAUUGUCGGAAGGGAUAUUUUCCAAUUCUGCCUCAAUAUUUUGAACAAAGGAAUAUGAAGAAAAUUCUGGGCAAUGCAUAAACUUUGAUAAGUCUACUGCAUUUUUCAGUUCUAAUGUUUCUACUAGGGACAAGUGGGAAAUUUUGCAAAUCCUAAAAUUCAAAGUAUUAAGAGUAUCCAGAAAAAUAUUUGGGUCUAUCAAAUAUGGUGGGAAGGGGCAAAAAAUAGCCUUUUCAAUCUUUGAAGGACAAGAUGCGCAAAAAGUUAAGUGGAUGGAGUAACAGGUACCUUUCACAAGGAGGAAAAGAGGUAUUCAUCAAUCUAUUUUACAAGCAAUCCCUACAUACUCUAUGUUAUGUUUUUCUGUUACCAAGUUCAUUAUGUGCUGAGUUAGAGAGUAUCAUUGCGAAUUUCUGGUGGCAAAAAAAUAAUACUAAGAGGGGAAUUCACUGGUGUGAAUGGAAGCAUAUGUGUGAAUUAAAAGGGCAGGGGGAAUAGGCUUUCGCAAGUUGUCAAAGUUCAAUUUAGCCUUGUUAGCAAAACAAGGGUAGAGAUUGCUUAACUAUCCAAAUUCUUUACUUGCUAGAUCAUUGAAAGCAAAAUAUUUCCAUAACAUGAAUUUUCUAAACUCAAUUUUAGGAAGUCUACCUUUUGUAUACGUGACAAAGUAUAUGGGCUACAAAGGGUCUGUUGGCUUCGGGGC